rnacentral:tRNA from 1 species
UCUAAUAUGGCAGAAUAUUGCAUUAAGUUUAAACCUUAAUUAUAAAGAUUUAUCUUUUUUUAGAA